rnacentral:rRNA from 1 species
UACGUAGGUGGCAAGCGUUGUCCGGAAUUAUUGGGCGUAAAGCGCGCGCAGGCGGUCCUUUAAGUCUGAUGUGAAAGCCCACGGCUCAACCGUGGAGGGCCAUUGGAAACUGGAGGACUUGAGUACAGAAGAGGAAAGCGGAAUUCCACGUGUAGCGGUGAAAUGCGUAGAGAUGUGGAGGAACACCAGUGGCGAAGGCGGCUUUCUGGUCUGUAACUGACGCUGAGGCGCGAAAGCGUGGGGAGCAAACAGG